GAGGAACCUUACCAAGGCUUAAAUGGGAAAUGACAGGUUUAGAAAUAGACUUUUCUUCGGACAUUUUUCAAGGUGCUGCAUGGUUGUCGUCAGCUCGUGCCGUGAGGUGUUAGGUUAAGUCCUGCAACGAGCGCAACCCCUGUCACUAGUUGCCAUCAUUAAGUUGGGGACUCUAGUGAGACUGCCUACGCAAGUAGAGAGGAAGGUGGGGAUGACGUCAAAUCAUCACGGCCCUUACGCCUUGGGCCACACACGUAAUACAAUGGCCAGUACAGAGGGCAGCUACACAGCGAUGUGAUGCAAAUCUCGAAAGCUGGUCUCAGUUCGGAUUGGAGUCUGCAACUCGACUCUAUGAAGCUGGAAUCGCUAGUAAUCGCGCAUCA
rnacentral:rRNA from 1 species